rnacentral:lncRNA from 1 species
UUGAGGGUUGUAAUGUGGCUUGGUUCAUGGUUAGUGAAAUAAAGGAUAUAAGCCUCAAAUUUGUUUUAACCCACCCUUCUUCGUUAUGAUCUCCAGUCCUACGUUAAACACGUGUAUUCUUCUUCCAAGAGAGUUUGACGAUGUAAGAGUGAACAUGAAGAUUUAAGAUUUUCUUGAAAUGGUAGUCAACUUAUUUUGUUUUUGUCAUGGAUGUCGGUGACCCUUUGAUUUUGGAUAUGAUGGUCACGGAAUCUUGUUCUUUUUUUGGUGAGGAUUUG